rnacentral:rRNA from 1 species
UACGUAGGGUGCAAGCGUUGUCCGGAAUUAUUGGGCGUAAAGAGCUCGUAGGCGGUUUGUUGCGUCGGCUGUGAAAACCUGAGGCUCAACCUCAGGCCUGCAGUCGAUACGAGCAGACUAGAGUGUUGCAGGGGAGACUGGAAUUCCUGGUGUAGCGGUGAAAUGCGCAGAUAUCAGGAGGAACACCGGUGGCGAAGGCGGUUCUCUGGGCCUGACCUGACGCUGAGGAGCGAAAGCGUGGGGAGCGAACAGG